rnacentral:lncRNA from 1 species
CGGAAAGACGUAUCCGGUGGUCGGAGACGGAACACGUGCUCGCCGAUUGAUAAAAGCAUUCCUGAAAGGGGGAGUCAUUUCUUUGAUUGUUAACGUGGUAAGAAAACUUUCACUUUUUUAAAUUUCUUUAUGGAUUGGAUUAUUUAUCGUUUACAUUGUUGUUAAUCUUUCUUUUCUGUUUCGCAACUUUUCCGAUCUGGAAGUGCUACCUUUUCCCUCCAUGUUCGUAUUGAUGUGGUAGUAGCAGCAGCUAACAAGAAAAUAUGAUUAAUUAGUAUUAGGGUUUAGGGUAGUAAUAAUAUGUUUGUAUCUAAACCCUAAGCAAGAAAAUAAUUA